rnacentral:tRNA from 2 species
GGUCCUAUGGCCCAGUGGUUACGACUUUGGACUUUGAAUCCAAAUACCCGAGUUCAAAUCUCGGUGGGACCU